rnacentral:rRNA from 1 species
CCCUAUGGGGUGCACCAGGCAUUUCCACCUGCAGGUCCUCGAUCUCAAGCGUUGUCUUGUUGACAAGCAGGUGAAUGAUCAUCUGGUGUAUUAUGCCGGGCGAUCUCUUCUCACCUAUUGCCAGUUGAUAUUCCUUGUAACGACGAUCUGUAAGACUUCCCUCUACAGCAAACCUGAGACCGUCAUAUUCGUAAGUACUCAUCUCUAUAGUUCUCGUAUGGUAUUUUUCUCCCUUUGGUUUUCCAAAAAGGCUCAUCCUGCCCGUCUCCUGUUAACGUAUUUAUUGCUGCAUGAGGAAAGUAUAUUGUAAUGUUCCUACCUGAUCACAUACACAGAUAUAUCUUUGCCGAAGUUGUUGACAAUGGGUGUCUGGCGGGAGAGC